AUGUUUUUAGUAUAUUUUGUACAUUUACCUUCCAAGUAAAAAGAUUGUUAGUAAAAAACAUA
rnacentral:tRNA from 1 species